rnacentral:lncRNA from 14 species
UGAGGCUACAGACAGAGUGUAGGGGUCACUCUAUGUGCCUCAGGGAAGGUCUGAGACUGGAGCUCCUAGUUGCCCCUGCAGGGCAUCCCUUGGAUGAAGCGGGGUGGGUCCCCAUGAGAACUU